GGGCGUGUGGCUCAGUUGGCAGAGCGUUCGCUUAGCAUCUCAUCGUCUUCCGAAGAUGGUUCCGCGAUGCGAAAGGUCCUGGGUUCGAUUCCCAGCCCGUCCA